AUGAACGCUAGCUACAGGCUUAACACAUGCAAGUCGAGGGGCAGCAUUUUAGUUUGCUUGCAAACUAAAGAUGGCGACCGGCGCACGGGUGAGUAACACGUAUCCAACCUGCCGAUAACUCGGGGAUAGCCUUUCGAAAGAAAGAUUAAUAUCCGAUGGUAUAUUAAAACCGCAUGGUUUUACUAUUAAAGAAUUUCGGUUAUCGAUGGGGAUGCGUUCCAUUAGUUUGUUGGCGGGGUAACGGCCCACCAAGACUACGAUGGAUAGGGGUUCUGAGAGGAAGGUCCCCCACAUUGGAACUGAGACACGGUCCAAACUCCUACGGGAGGCAGCAGUGAGGAAUAUUGGUCAAUGGACGAGAGUCUGAACCAGCCAAGUAGCGUGAAGGAUGACUGCCCUAUGGGUUGUAAACUUCUUUUAUAUGGGAAUAAAGUAUUCCACGUGUGGGAUUUUGUAUGUACCAUAUGAAUAAGGAUCGGCUAACUCCGUGCCAGCAGCCGCGGUAAUACGGAGGAUCCGAGCGUUAUCCGGAUUUAUUGGGUUUAAAGGGAGCGUAGGUGGAUUGUUAAGUCAGUUGUGAAAGUUUGCGGCUCAACCGUAAAAUUGCAGUUGAAACUGGCAGUCUUGAGUACAGUAGAGGUGGGCGGAAUUCGUGGUGUAGCGGUGAAAUGCUUAGAUAUCACGAAGAACUCCGAUUGCGAAGGCAGCUCACUAGACUGCAACUGACACUGAUGCUCGAAAGUGUGGGUAUCAAACAGGAUUAGAUACCCUGGUAGUCCACACAGUAAACGAUGAAUACUCGCUGUUUGCGAUAUACAGUAAGCGGCCAAGCGAAAGCAUUAAGUAUUCCACCUGGGGAGUACGCCGGCAACGGUGAAACUCAAAGGAAUUGACGGGGGCCCGCACAAGCGGAGGAACAUGUGGUUUAAUUCGAUGAUACGCGAGGAACCUUACCCGGGCUUAAAUUGCAUUUGAAUAAUCUGGAAACAGGUUAGCCGCAAGGCAAAUGUGAAGGUGCUGCAUGGUUGUCGUCAGCUCGUGCCGUGAGGUGUCGGCUUAAGUGCCAUAACGAGCGCAACCCUUAUCUUUAGUUACUAACAGGUCAUGCUGAGGACUCUAGAGAGACUGCCGUCGUAAGAUGUGAGGAAGGUGGGGAUGACGUCAAAUCAGCACGGCCCUUACGUCCGGGGCUACACACGUGUUACAAUGGGGGGUACAGAAGGCAGCUACCUGGUGACAGGAUGCUAAUCCCAAAAACCUCUCUCAGUUCGGAUCGAAGUCUGCAACCCGACUUCGUGAAGCUGGAUUCGCUAGUAAUCGCGCAUCAGCCAUGGCGCGGUGAAUACGUUCCCGGGCCUUGUACACACCGCCCGUCACACCAUGAGAGUUGGGGAUACCCGAAGCCUGUGAGCCAACAUAUCUAUGAGGCAGCAGUCGAAGGUAGAAUCAAUGAUUGGGGUG
rnacentral:rRNA from 1 species